GGUGCUGUAGCUUAGCUGGUCAAAGUACCUGUCUUGUAAGCAAGGGAUUCUGGGUUCAACUCCCAGCAGUACCU